GAUGAACGCUGGCGGCGUGCCUAAUACAUGCAAGUCGAGCGAAUGAAGAGGAGCUUGCUCCUCUGAUUUAGCGGCGGACGGGUGAGUAACACGUGGGUAAUCUGCCUGUAAGACGGGGAUAACUCCGGGAAACCGGGGCUAAUACCGGAUAACAAAAGAAGAAGCAUUUCUUCUUUUUGAAAGUCGGUUUCGGCUGACGCUUACAGAUGAGCCCGCGGCGCAUUAGCUAGUUGGUGAGGUAACGGCUCACCAAGGCGACGAUGCGUAGCCGACCUGAGAGGGUGAUCGGCCACACUGGGACUGAGACACGGCCCAGACUCCUACGGGAGGCAGCAGUAGGGAAUCUCCGGCAAUGGGCGAAAGCCUGACCGAGCAACGCCGCGUGAGCGAUGAAGGCCUUCGGGUCGUAAAGCUCUGUUGUUAGGGAAGAACACGUACGAGAGUAACUGCUCGUACCUUGACGGUACCUAACCAGAAAGCCACGGCUAACUACGUGCCAGCAGCCGCCGUAA
rnacentral:rRNA from 1 species